rnacentral:rRNA from 1 species
UACGUAUGUGGCAAGCGUUGUCCGGAAUUACUGGGCGUAAAGGGCGUGUAGGCGGCCUUUUAAGUCAGGCGUGAAAUCCAUGGGCUUAACCCAUGAAUUGCGUUUGAAACUGGAGGGCUUGAGGAUCGGAGAGGGCAGUGGAAUUCCCAGUGUAGCGGUGAAAUGCGUAGAUAUUGGGAGGAACACCAGUGGCGAAGGCGACUGCCUGGACGACACCUGACGCUGAGGCGCGAAAGCUAGGGGAGCAAACGGG